AAUGCAGAGUAAAAAAAACAUAAAGAAUCAUUCAACCAUUGUCCACAAACAAUUUUGCUGAUCACAAUUAAAAGAAGGCGGGGCCAUCUUAAAACAGGCAAAUUGUUGAUCUAAAAAGGAAACACUGUUCCAAAUGUAUUUUCUCCUGAAUACGUGAUAUACAAAAAGCCGUCCUCACUUUUAUGCUCUUCGUAUAUCGUUGACAUCAAGGCCGCUGUCGGGGGCAAGAUUUCAUCAAUGAAAAUAAAGAUGGCCUUCUCAGGAGAAAGUUUUAUCCGUUUGCGAAUAACAUAUACAAAUUGACCAACUGUAAGGUCAGAUGGAACGAGAUAUUUCUUUUUAUCUAUUGCAGCAAUAUCAGAUUUAUCAACUUUCUCGCAAAUAACCUGUUAAGUUAGCAGUUAAGUUUAAAACGUAAUUUGUAUUUUUGAAAGAAAAAGGUCAGACUUGUAACAAUGGAUUCACUUUUGAUGACAAAAACAAUGGGUGUUGUUCAAUUCACCACUAUUUUGCUCUGAAACCUGUUCUCUUUGACCACCAGACUCUACUUACAGGUAUUCGAUCGGGAUAUUUUUCCCGGAUUCUUUGAGACUCUGUUUUUCGUUUCUCUGAUUAUUAAUUAGCCUACUAGUUCCAGGUAUUCUACAAUGCUGUCCAAAAAACAACUUCUAUAAGUUUUUGACACAUACCAAAAGAAAAGUCGUCCUUGAAUUGAGAACGCAUGAGAACUCUCAAACUUCUUGCUUGAAGUAGUAACUCCUCUCUUCAAUUGCUUCAAAAUUCGGUGUUCUUUGUAAACGGUGCGUGAGUUAUGUGGUAUACGGUCUUGGAUAAAUAAGCGUACCCUUGGGUAACGUAUACAGAGAUAUGAAGCAAUCUUAUGAUACUAUGAUAAGUUACCUUAUUUCGUAAUAAAUAAAUACUUUACGAAUCUUAAGCAGUACACAAUCAAAAGGAAUUUUUACUACUUCUUUAUAGUAUGAUAGCCAUAAUUGGUAUAUACUCAAUCCUUGGUACAACAAAAGUCACAACUCUUUUAGGAAGAAAAGCAAGAAUGGAAAUAAAGACGUUGUGUAAAUAAAUAAUAGCACGCUUAACACGUAAAUACCUUCCAAAAA